AGUGCCGCCACUUCCUGUACAGAGGGCGUCGCGGUCGCACGGCGCGCGAAUCGAUCCGCGAUCACCGAACGGCGCGCGCGUCUUCGAAAAAUCAAUAAUCAAUGUCUCUCGUUCGCGCGCGUGAUCGACCGCGAGUGUUUCUUUCAACGCAGCACCGGUGAUUUUUUCCUCGGGAUGUGAUCCUUACGUGACGGAUCUCUCCACUCGAUUUCCUGGAUUCUUGCCGCUGAGGAGAGAAGUUGACCGACCUGUUUUCUUCUUCUCUUCAGUGAGUUGAUCAGUGCGUUCAUCAACUAGUGCUUCAAGAUUAUUCGCAUAUUUUUCCAUCAUCCCCAUCAUAUUGUCGAAGAUGUUUGCUUUCCUGCAAAAGUAUGUCCUGCGAAAAGCAUUCUGGCUGAGCAUUUCGUCGAAAAUUCGAAAUUACAAAAAUCAACAUCACGCGAUUAUAUUUGGGAACAUAAUCGAUAAGCAUAAUAUAUUAAGCAUAAUUAUGUUAAUUUUAAAAAUUACCGACCUUGAGACUGCCACGUGCACAAUAUUCAAUGAUAAUACAUAUGUUAGGUGGAUCGGUGCAUGCACCGAUAAAUGCAUUUAGAUUAUCAUGUCUUAAAUCGCGCAUCUGAAAAUUUAUCGCUUAUUUAAUUAC